CAGUCGCCACGGGAAUACGAAGGGUGCAAGCGCUAAUCGGAAUUACUGGGCGUAAAGCGUGCGUAGGCGGUGAGUUAAGUCUGCUGUGAAAUCCCCGGGCUCAACCUGGGAAUGGCAAUGGAUACUGGCAAGCUAGAGUGUGUCAGAGGAUGGUGGAAUUCCCGGUGUAGCGGUGAAAUGCGUAGAGAUCGGGAGGAACAUCAGUGGCGAAGGCAGCCAUCUGGGACAACACUGACGCUGAGGCACGAAAGCGUGGGGAGCAAACAGGAUUAGAUACCCCCGUAGUCCCUGUCUCUUAUAC
rnacentral:rRNA from 1 species